CCCUUAGAUGUUCUGGGCCGCACGCGCGCUACACUGACUGGUGCAACAAGUGUCGCUCCUUGGCCGAUAGGCCUGGGCAAUCUUUGAACGCCAGCCGUGAUGGGGAUAGAUUCUUGCAAUUUUUGAUCUUCAACGAGGAAUUCCUAGUAAACGCGAGUCAUCAACUCGCAUUGAUUACGUCCCUGCCCUUUGUACACACCGCCCGUCGCACCUACCGAUUGAAUGGUCCGGUGAACCCUCCGGAUCGGCCCGCGCCAACGCAAGUUGAGCAAAGGCCGAGAAGUUGGGUAAACCUUACCAUUUAGAGGAAGGUGAAGUCGUAACA
rnacentral:rRNA from 1 species